GUGAAGCACGCUGCGCCCAUGGAUCAUGUCUGUGCGUUACACCAGAGGCUCCGGGCUCCACUAAUUCCAUUUAGAGACGGGAAGACUUCCAGUGGCGGGGGGAGGACAGAGUCGAGAGGUGUUAAAGACGCAAAGCAAGAACGAAAUAAAGGGGGCCCGAGAGGGAGACCAAAAGGAAGGGGGAGCUCGGAGCCCACGCUGCAGCCAGAUCCGGAUGAGUCCGUCCUCCGCCCCGGGCGGGCUCUCGCUCUCGCUGGCCCUCAGCGCCGCGCAGCCAGCAGCAUCCCCACCGUGACGCUCGCAUCACACCCGGGCGCCGGCCGCCACCAUCCGCGCCGCCGCCGUCAGGACCCUCCUCCCGGGCAUCGUCGCCGCCGCAGGGUCGGGAGGACGCGGCGCGAGGCAGGCGGCGAGCGCGGGGCGAGCCCCGGGACGCCCCCGAGCCGGUGCCGGGGAGCGGGCGCAGCGAGGUGGGGGCCAGUCCAGACCGACGGCAGCGACGGAGCGGGCGGCGGCGGCGGCAGGGAUGGCUCAGUCCCCAGUCUCAGACGCGCCGCGCAGCAGGUCGGAGCAGCCUCCCCGGGAGGAUGUCCAGCGGCAGCGCUCCUCGCUCCAGCCCUUGGGGAUCUUCCGCUGAGGCAUUGAAGGCAGGAGGAAGGGUUCUGAUGAAGUUCCACUCCUCUUUGUACCUUGCAUCUGUGACACUAAGUAAAGUUGAAGCAUCAGAAUUGCCUAGCGGAUAUUGGAAGAAGGGAUGGAAAAACUAAAAUGCUGGGGCGGACACUGUGUGAGAACGGAAGAGCUGCAGAUGGUUAUGAUCCACCAGAAAGCCUGCAGGAUAACUAUAUUACAUGGAAUGAACUGCUGGCAAGAGCACCAGCAUCUCUGAAUGUUUGGUUGUGGCUCUCUUCUUCACACCAAGGCAGAUGGGAGAGGUCAAGCAUUUUUCUCUGUCUCCCCUGCAUUUUCAGUGAGGAAAGUUAAGACUGGAAAAGUGAAGUGACUUAAUCAUGACAAACGUAGAAUUAAAUGAUGAAGCUAGAGUGGAGGACGUUUCAACUCUACCCAGAGAUUUGAGCUGUGGGAGAGAAGGGAAAGAAAGGACCGCCAUUCAAAGAACUUCUGUCAAAUGUUCACUCUUUUAAAGACACAAUAGGUCUCAGUUGAUUUUGCUUUAAUAAGAACUCCUGUGAACAUGAAGAUUUAUUAUCAAUAUUUAGUGCCAAAACACGAAGUAUUGUUAGGGAGAGCAGCCUGACCAGCAUCGUGAAACCCCAACUCUGCUAAAAAUACACAAAUAUUAG